UACGAAGGGGGCUAGCGUUGUUCGGAAUUACUGGGCGUAAAGCGCACGUAGGCGGACAUUUAAGUUGGAGGUGAAAGCCUUGGGCUCAACCCAAGAAUUGCCUUUGAUACUGGAUGUCUCGAGACCGGGAGAGGUGAGUGGAAUUCCGAGUGUAGAGGUGAAAAUUCGUAGAUAUUCGGAAGAACACCAGUGGCGAAGGCGGCUCACUGGCCCGGUUCUGACGCUGAGGUGCGAAAGCGUGGGGAGCAAACAGG
rnacentral:rRNA from 1 species